AGAACGAACGCUGGCGGCAGGCCUAACACAUGCAAGUCGAACGCUCUUUUCGGAGAGAGUGGCGCACGGGUGAGUAACGCGUGGGAAUCUGCCCUUUGGUUCGGAAUAACCCUGGGAAACUAGGGCUAACACCGGAUAAGCCCCGCGAGGGGGAAAGUUUACGCCGAAGGAGGAGCCCGCGUCCGAUUAGCUAGUUGGUGAGGUAAGAGCUCACCAAGGCUUCGAUCGGUAGCUGGUCUGAGAGGACGAUCAGCCACACUGGGACUGAGACACGGCCCAGACUCCUACGGGAGGCAGCAGUGGGGAAUAUUGGACAAUGGGCGCAAGCCUGAUCCAGCCAUGCCGCGUGAGUGAUGAAGGCCUUCGGGUGUAAAGCUCUUUGGCGGGACGAUGAUGACGGUACCCGCAGAAUAAGCCCGACAAACUUCGUGCCAGCAGCCGC
rnacentral:rRNA from 1 species